AAUGCAAUUGUUCCUAAAACAUGGCCAGCUAAGUAAUUAAAAGUCUUCUUGUAGUACCUAAGCCAAACUACAUACAGUUUUGCUUACUACAUAAAAUCCUUCAUUUUAAUGUCUUUCUGAAAAUUCUCUAUCAAAUGAGUGGGAGAACUUUUAUUUUGAUUUUAUUCUUUUGGGCUGUUCUCACCAUUGUUACACCUGUUCUUGUCCGUUUGUCAGCUUCUGCUAAAGCCAAUGGGGAGUUUUUUGUUAUCAAACACACAAGUGACUUAAAGGAGAGAAUAAAGGAUGGCAAAGUGAUGGAGUUGUUGCCAAGGAGGGCGCUAGUUGCGGCGGCACCGCCACGGGAAGAGUCGAUGCCACUAUUAACACCAGUGUUGGGGCCAUUUCCGGCCCCGACACGUGGAUGAGGGAGGUUAUGGGAGAGUUAUUAUUUAUAAGUUAUGUAGUUCAGGCCCUCAAAAAUAUCUUUCAUACCUGUGUCUGAAGUAGUGCAUGUUCGGAGGAUCUGACACCGAUGUGGCGAUAUUUUUGGCGGAUCCGAGCAUGUAGUCAUUGAUGAGUGAGGACUCCUUUUCGGGUUGCAGAAAUUUAGUGCCAUUUUCCAAAUUGUUAAGGCAGCUUCACUUUGAUAUUGAGAUAGGGUCGUGUUUGCAUUAUUGGAGGGGUUAGAGUGGACGCUAUGAUUCGUAAAUAUAUCUAAAGAAGGUACAGCAACAAUUCCAUUAAUUAAAGUACAUAAUUUGUUA